rnacentral:rRNA from 1 species
ACUCCUACGGGAGGCAGCAGUGGGGAAUCUUGGACAAUGGGCGCAAGCCUGAUCCAGCCAUGCCGCGUGAGUGAUGAAGGCCCUAGGGUCGUAAAGCUCUUUCGCCAGGGAUGAUAAUGACAGUACCUGGUAAAGAAACCCCGGCUAACUCCGUGCCAGCAGCCGCGGUAAUACGGAGGGGGUUAGCGUUGUUCGGAAUUACUGGGCGUAAAGCGCGCGUAGGCGGACUGGAAAGUUGGGGGUGAAAUCCCGGGGCUCAACCCCGGAACUGCCUCCAAAACUCCCAGUCUUGAGUUCGAGAGAGGUGAGUGGAAUUCCGAGUGUAGAGGUGAAAUUCGUAGAUAUUCGGAGGAACACCAGUGGCGAAGGCGGCUCACUGGCUCGAUACUGACGCUGAGGUGCGAAAGUGUGGGGAGCAAACAGGAUUAGAUAACCUGGUAGGAUAGCG